rnacentral:lncRNA from 1 species
UCUUAACUUUGACUGCUAAUUUAGAUUUUGAUUGUCGAUUUUAGCUUCGAUCAUAGAUCUUUAGCUGUUGGCAUCAGAGUGACACCUAGACAUCAGACGCUGAUCCAAGGAAAAUCCCGACCCCAGUAUCAUCUUUGAUCAAAGAAUCCCUCGCCGAUCCUCACCUCUAGUUGUGGAUUGCAUUCCCCUCAACUAUGCUAGCUACCAUAUUUGGAAAGAUCGACCCCCCAUAUGGUCUCAUCAAGUUACGUCAUUCCAUGUUAGAUCAUGCCACUCCAACAGUUGGCUAUGCAUUGGAUGAGGUCACACCA